rnacentral:rRNA from 1 species
AGAGCGAACGCUGGCGGCAGGCCUAACACAUGCAAGUCGAGCGCGUGUAGCAAUACACGAGCGGCAGACGGGAGAGUAACACGUGGGAACGCGCCCUUCGGUUCGGAAUAACUCAGGGAAACUUGAGCUAAUACCGGAUACGCCCUUACGGGGAAAGAUUUAUUGCCGAAGGAACGGCCCGCGUCCGAUUAGCUAGUUGGUGAGGUAACGGCUCACCAAGGCGACGAUCGGUAGCUGGUCUGAGAGGAUGACCAGCCUCACUGGGACUGAGACACGGCCCAGACUCCUACGGGAGGCAGCAGUGGGGAAUAUUGGACAAUGGGCGCAAGCCUGAUCCAGCCAUGCCGCGUGGAUGAUGAAGGCCUUAGGGUUGUAAAGCUCUUUCGCACGCGACGAUAAUGACGGUAGCGUGAGAAGAGCCCGGCUAACUCGCGCCAGCAGCCGC